CAUUAUGAAGCUAAGUAGCGCUAGCCUUUUAAGCUAGAGAAUGAGAGCUAAGUAACACUCUCCAUAAUGG